rnacentral:rRNA from 1 species
GAUGAACGCUGGCGGCGUGCCUAAUACAUGCAAGUCGAGCGAACAGACGAGGAGCUUGCUCCUCUGACGUUAGCGGCGGACGGGUGAGUAACACGUGGAUAACCUACCUAUAAGACUGGGAUAACUUCGGGAAACCGGAGCUAAUACCGGAUAAUAUAUUGAACCGCAUGGUUCAAUAGUGAAAGACGGUUUUGCUGUCACUUAUAGAUGGAUCCGCGCCGCAUUAGCUAGUUGGUAAGGUAACGGCUUACCAAGGCGACGAUGCGUAGCCGACCUGAGAGGGUGAUCGGCCACACUGGAACUGAGACACGGUCCAGACUCCUACGGGAGGCAGCAGUAGGGAAUCUGCCGCAAUGGGCGAAAGCCUGACGGAGCAACGCCGCGUGAGUGAUGAAGGUCUUCGGAUCGGAAAACUCUGUUAUUAGGGAAGAACAAAUGUGUAAGUAACUAUGCACGUAUUGACGGUACCUAAUCAGAAAGCCACGGCUAACUACGUG